rnacentral:rRNA from 1 species
GCCAGCACGUGAUGGUGGGGACUCAUGAGAGACUGCCGGGGUUAACGUCGGAGGAAGGUGGGGAUGACGUCAAAUCAUCAUGCCCCUUAUGUCCAGGGCUUCACACAUGCUACAAUGGUCGGUACAACGCGUGUGCGACACUGUGAGGUGAAGCUAAUCGCUCUAAAGCCGGUCGUAGUUCGGAUUGGGGUCUGCAACUCGACCCCAUGAAGUCGGAGUCGCUAGUAAUCGCAGAUCAGCAACGCUGCGGUGAAUACGUUCCCGGGCCUU